UACGUAGGGGGGCUAGCGUUGUCCGGAUUUAUUGGGCGUAAAGAGCGUGUAGGCGGCCAGAUAGGUCUGCUGUGAAAACUCGAGGCUCAACCUCGAGAUGUCGGCGGAAACCAUUUGGCUAGAGUCCGGAAGAGGAAAGUGGAAUUCCUGGUGUAGCGGUGAAAUGCGCAGAUAUCAGGAAGAACACCCGUGGCGAAGGCGGCUUUCUGGGACGGUACUGACGCUGAGACGCGAAAGCGUGGGGGAGCGAACAGG
rnacentral:rRNA from 1 species